rnacentral:rRNA from 1 species
CAGGCUUAACACAUGCAAGUCGAGGGGAAACGAUAGAGAAAGCUUGCUUUUUCUGGGCGUCGACCGGCGCACGGGUGAGUAACGCGUAUCCAACCUGCCCAUCACUUGGGAAUAACCUUGCGAAAGUAAGACUAAUACCCAAUGAUAUCUCAAGAAGACAUCUGAAUGAGAUUAAAGAUUUAUCGGUGAUGGAUGGGGAUGCGUCUGAUUAGCUUGUUGGCGGGGUAACGGCCCACCAAGGCGACGAUCAGUAGGGGUUCUGAGAGGAAGGUCCCCCACAUUGGAACUGAGACACGGUCCAAACUCCUACGGGAGGCAGCAGUGAGGAAUAUUGGUCAAUGGGCGAGAGCCUGAACCAGCCAAGUAGCGUGCAGGAUGACGGCCCUAUGGGUUGUAAACUGCUUUUAUAAGGGAAUAAAGUGAGUCUCGUGAGACUUUUUGCAUGUACCUUAUGAAUAAGGACCGGCUAAUUCCGUGCCAGCAGCCGCGGUAAUACGGAAGGUCCGGGCGUUAUCCGGAUUUAUUGGGUUUAAAGGGAGCGUAGGCCGGAGAUUAAGCGUGUUGUGAAAUGUGGAUGCUCAACAUCUGCACUGCAGCGCGAACUGGUUUCCUUGAGUACGCACAAAGUGGGCGGAAUUCGUGGUGUAGCGGUGAAAUGCUUAGAUAUCACGAAGAACUCCGAUUGCGAAGGCAGCUCACUGGAGCGCAACUGACGCUGAAGCUCGAAAGUGCGGGUAUCGAACAGGAUUAGAUACCCUGGUAGUCCGCACGGUAAACGAUGGAUGCCCACUGUUGGUCUGAAUAGGUCAGCGGCC